rnacentral:rRNA from 1 species
ACUCCGGGAACCGGGGCUAAUACCGGAUGGUUGUUUGAACCGCAUGGUUCAAACAUAAAAGGUGGCUUCGGCUACCACUUACAGAUGGACCCGCGGCGCAUUAGCUAGUUGGUGAGGUAACGGCUCACCAAGGCAACGAUGCGUAGCCGACCUGAGAGGGUGAUCGGCCACACUGGGACUGAGACACGGCCCAGACUCCUACGGGAGGCAGCAGUAGGGAAUCUUCCGCAAUGGACGAAAGUCUGACGGAGCAACGCCGCGUGAGUGAUGAAGGUUUUCGGAUCGUAAAGCUCUGUUGUUAGGGAAGAACAAGUACCGUUCGAAUAGGGCGGUACCUUGACGGUACCUAACCAGAAAGCCACGGCUAACUACGUGCCAGCAGCCGCGGUAAUACGAA